UACGGGGGGGGCAAGCGUUGUUCGGAAUUACUGGGCGUAAAGGGUUCGUAGGCGGCUUGCUAAGUCAGACGUGAAAUCCCUCAGCUCAACUGGGGAACUGCGUCUGAGACUGGCGAGCUUGAGUGCAGGAGAGGAAUGCGGAAUUCCAGGUGUAGCGGUGAAAUGCGUAGAUAUCUGGAGGAACACCGGUGGCGAAGGCGGCGUUCUGGACUGCAACUGACACUGAGGAACGAAAGCCAGGGGAGCAAACGGG
rnacentral:rRNA from 1 species